GUUUCCGUAGUGUAGUGGUCAUCACGUUUUCAUCACACGCAAAAGGUCCCCAGUUCUAAACUGGGCAGAAACA
rnacentral:tRNA from 1 species